UGUAAAUGUGAGUUUCACCGAUGAUGUAACAAUCACUCGUGUCCAUGAGAAAACAGCUGCUGGUGGGAUUACUUUACUCAUGACUCCUUUGCGGGCAAGGGGGUCAGAGGAAUCGGGACACAAUGGUUUUCUAAAUCCCGGCGAUGAUCCGAGAGGAAAUAUACAGACUGUGCAAUGUGAAAUAUCUAUCCGUCAUUGGUUAUCUAAGAGAGACGCAAGCAAACGAGUUUUUCUUACUGUCUGCUUCCUAGCGCUCUGUGGGUCACAUGAGCGGGACUGGCAGUUGCUGAGUCAACAUCACAAGUGGAACACUGGCCUCGAAGACACCACGCAAAGACUGUUUGUUACGUAGACUGUUGAGUAAUGCUCUCUAAUCAACUGUGUCUGGAAUUAGGCUUCAUACAUUCUCAGACAGUCUCAUUGGUCAGGUUGAUAAGCGGAUCGUAAUCUGCUUGCAUAUCGUUCAUAUCGGAUCAAUCUUUCGGUGCCAUUCCAUUAUACACGUCACAACUGUCGCUCAUAUUACAACUGAGCCGAUGAAUUAAAUUGAUGGAUCCUCCAUUAUUGUCACAAUUUCAUAUGACAAUCGCUGUACAAACAAAAAAUAAUAGUUGCAAAUUUGCAGGUCUCAGUAAAUAGGUCUUUCACAAAUUGUGAUCCUAAGUAAUCACAUUUGGAAAACAGCUCUUUAAAUAUUUGAUUGACUAGCCUGAGGUGUCAUUAGACAAUUGGAAUGAUUCCAGAAAUAUUUGUCUUUCAAAGAACUCUGCUGCAGUUGAUGCAAUCCUUGCAAAAAAAAAAACAAACCCUACUUGAUUUCUGGUCGCCAAGUAUAUCCCGUUGGCUGGGUUUAGAGAUAUCACACGGCACACACUUGUCUGGUCUCAACAGACAAAGAUUCAAAUCUGGUUAUGUUCCUUCUGAGUGGCUUUAUUUGUGCUAGGCAUUGGCAUAAACACGGUGCAUCAUCCAAGACUAUAUGUACGAAAAUGCUUCCGCGACGACUUCCGCGACAUGUGAUAGCAGUUAAGGGGAAAAAAAUAACUCUGUUCCUCAACAUUCAAUCAGACGUGUGCCUUCGACGCGACCUUCUGAUGUUACAUAUUGCAAAGGGCUAUAGAUAGAUACCAUCGAACCAUUCAGACUUGAUUCAGAAAAAAUGACUAAAUGUGUGGGUGUGUUUCGUUCAGUCGUCUCGACCGACAGUCAUUCAUAGAGUCUACUUCACACUUGUCGGUUGUAUUGUUGUCUGUGGGUGUGCAAGUGUUGAGUUUGAAAAGGGUAUUUUUUUUGCGUGUGUUCGGGUCAAGGGGGUGCGAGAUAUUUCUAUUCCUGGUACCUUUACAGGCCACAUCAUCUA